ACUCGAGUGGCGAACGGGUGAGUAACACGUGGGUGAUCUGCCCUGUACUUUGGGAUAAGCCUGGGAAACUGGGUCUAAUACCGAAUAUGACCACUUCUUGGAUGGGGUGGUGGAAAGCUUUUGCGGUAUGGGAUGAGCUCGCGGCCUAUCAGCUUGUUGGUGGGGUAAUGGCCUACCAAGGCGUCGACGGGUAGCCGGCCUGAGAGGGUGUACGGCCACAUUGGGACUGAGAUACGGCCCAGACUCCUACGGGAGGCAGCAGUGGGGAAUAUUGCACAAUGGGCGCAAGCCUGAUGCAGCGACGCCGCGUGGGGGAUGACGGCCUUCGGGUUGUAAACUCCUUUCGCAACCGACGAAGCUUUUGUGACGGUAGGUUGAGAAGAAGCACCGGCUAACUACGUGCCAGCAGCCGCGGUAAUACGUAGGGUGCGAGCGUUGUCCGGAAUUACUGGGCGUAAAGAGCUCGUAGGUGGUUUGUCGCGUCGUUUGUGGAAUACCGCAGCUUAACUGCGGGGUUGCAGGCGAUACGGGCAUAACUUGAGUGCUGUAGGGGAGACUGGAAUUCCUGGUGUAGCGGUGGAAUGCGCAGAUAUCAGGAGGA
rnacentral:rRNA from 1 species